UCUGCAGUUAAGUCGACAUUCACAAUGCCCAAAUCAUUUGUCUCUUUUGAAACACUGAAAUCUUUAACAUGUUUUCUAAACAAACAAACAAAAUUAAACAUUCUGCCUAACGAUUACAAAAAAUUCUUUGUGCUUUUAAACUCUUUUAACACAUUCAGCUACAAUUCGCCCUGAUGCACCAUAUACAUUGUUAUUUUAUCCUCUGACACCGGACAAUUUUACUCGUCAAGGGAGAGUGCUGCGACUCAAUGGGUUAAUGAAACAAACUGAGAAUGUACCUUGUUAAGUGUUAACCUAUUAAGCUGCAUUAUGCCCUGACGCGCCCUACUUCGUUAUGUCAUCUUGUUUAACGCCAGACAAGUGCUGCAGCUCAAUGGAUUAAUUAACAAUCUGGCCUAAAGAGUCUCAGUAUUAUGGGGGAGAAUGCCUACCAUUAGAUUAUACCUUGACGAGCACCCAAUUAGCCUUUCUCACGCCCCAAUUUUUGGGUGGCUUUUCAGCCGAAGUCUGCGAGAUAAGUCCACAUAACAGCGACUUUUUAUCAUUUUUGGACGAAUGAUGGUAAAUUUGCUUUGUAAAUGGUUAGUUUAUUU